UGUGACACCCUGUUUAAUAUCGUGUUCCUCAAAUGAUUGAUAUUAAUCAGAAAGAGAAAUAAGAAGACAAAAUUUAUAAUGGCCAUGACGACGAACGUUCUCGAAACCAAUAUAGUAUUGUUUCACUAAGCUAGGUUCAAAGGGUGGUACGAGGCUAGGGAAUAUAUCCCUUCAAAGGAUCGAAAGGUAAGCAGUUUCGGAAAGAGGAUAUAAUCGAUUGCGUCUGGAAGGUUCGUCGAAGGGACAUCCACCAGUGCAUACAGGUCGUGGUCAAAGUGGAAUGUUUUCUCUAAUGAGAAAAUAUUCCUUCGUAGAAAAGCAGAUUUCAUUGCUGAAUCUUUUUGGAUCCUAUCUUCUUCCACCCUCUGAAGGAUUCAACGCAGUCGAGAAGGAAAAAUGAAGAUUAAUAAUAACGUUAUCAGUGUUCUUGGAUAUCGAAUUAAUGUUAAUUAAAAUAUCAAUUAAUUAGAAAAUUAUAUAUACUGUAAUAAUAUUUAUUUCAAUGCCAUGGGUGAAAUUGGGAACGAUAAAGAAAAUCUUAGAGCGAUUAACGAUGAUUCCAAGAAGGAAGAUCUGCGAAUCGAUGUUGAAGAUGAAGAAGAAGAAAAAGGAGAUGCAGGAGAUGCAGUAGACGAUGAAUAUGAAGGGAUUUAAAGAAAAUGCAUGUACGGAUUACGAUCUCCCCUACGUAUCGUCAAGUACCUUCGUAUUAAACGAUUCGUUAUUAUUUCUCUCCACCCGUGAGUACCCUUAUGAACGCUUGAAUGAAUCAGUUCAAGUGGACGGGAAUGAGUGCGCGGUUUUACGAGUGUACAUCUCCCGUUUGAUUUUAAAAACAGAGCGAUGGGCGUGUCCACUGACUUAAUUAUUCCGCUCGAGCGAGUACAUUUUCCUAAGAAUAUUCUCCCCAUUGUAGAAUGAUCCAACAGUCUAAUUAUCUAAUAUUUCGUAUAUUAUAUUCUAAAUUAAUCAAUUCCUAAGAAGAUAUUUUAUUUCUCAAUUUUUAUUUGAGAAUUUUUUAUUUCUAUUACGUAUAAUCGAGCACAGUAACGAUUUUAUUAUAUUUCUAGUAACAUAAUAUUUUUAGUUUUCGAAUGUAUUAUCCUUAUGAUUUUUUUUCUGAAUAGGAGCACAUAGAAUCUAACACCUUCAUAAUCUUCCCCAAACAUAGAGAUUUAUUCUACUUCUUUCUAGGCAUCGUUACUGGAUCAACCGAUCUACAUCGCAUGAAUCAUAAUUUAUAAAUAUUGUAGGAAGAGAUUUUCCAUGAAAUUACCAUUCCUUUUAAAUACAAUAUUCUGAAUUCUACUUUCUUGGUAAUGUCAAUAUUCUCUUCAAAAUGAAAAAAAAUAAAUUAAUAUGAAUAAUUAAAUGCCAACAAAAAUUUUCUUCCUAUAAACAUAAUUCGAUUUUUAUAAUGUGAAAUGAUCGAGAAAGUAUGAGUAUGGAGAAGGACGAACAGGGGAAUCAAAAAAAAAAAAAAAGAAAUAUAAAAAUAACAAGAAAAUUCCUUUUAUAGUAAUAUCUCUCCAAAAAUAUUGGUAACAUUGUGAAGAGAUGAUCAGGAAUAUAUGAAAAAGAAGGUGUUGAUCGAAACAGCGCAUGCUCGAAUCAAUAUAAGACGCUAGUUAUCCGCGCAAGUUGAAUAAACCGUUUAUUCUGUUUCGAACCGUCCUACAAGCAAGUUCUUGGGGAUUUCAAAAUAAGGCCGAUUUAAAAUAUUCCGGCAAGGCGUAACUAUAAAUCGAAUUAAAACUAUUUUCGCUAGUUACUUGAUGGUAAACUGAUUCGAUAUAUACGUAAAUGUAUGUAUGUAUAUACAUAUAUAUAUAUAUAUAUAUGUGUAUAUAUAUAUAUAUCUUUCUCCGUACCGUGUACUUUCUAUGUACUAUAGUUUAAUAUUUAUAUACAUAUUUAUUUAUAUAUUGGUCUACUAAUUGAUAAACUAUUCAUAUCUUUCUGAGAGUCACUACGGAUAUAAAUAAAGCACGGAUGUAAAAUUAAAAAGAAAAUUAAAAAAAUAAAUUAAAAUGAAAAAUUAAGUGAAUAUUAAAGAAAAAAGGAAACAUUGAGAAAAAAAGUGAACGAAUAAAAUUAUUGAGGAGAAAGUGUGUAUUGGGAAAAGGAAUCCGUUGAUAUCAAUUUCAUAUUUUAAUAUAUUUGUGUGGAAUAAAUAGAACCUCGAUUUUUGAUAAACAUUUGCUUCUUCUGAAUAUCAAGACAAAAUUUAACAAAAAAAGAAAAAACUAAAAGUUAUUCGACGAAAGUUGAAGCAAUUUAUGUUUAAUCGAAACGACAACGUGUCCAGAGCGACAAAACUCCAAGAAAGAAAAGACGAUCAGUAUACAAAUCGUAGUACUUGAAAACUGGCCGCUCAUUUGAAAUUGAUUUUAGGUAUUGCCGGAAAUAUUCUUCAUAUUCUUGGAUAUAAUUUUCGAUGCGAGGUCACCACACAGAUUGCUAAAAAUUGAUAUUCCUUGUAUACACGUCGAAAAAAGUCGAGCGUAAAAUUCAAAGGACCAUUAAAAAAAAAUAAUAAUGGGUAUAAUAUACGUCCAUUCCUGGCAAACUGCUGAGGCAGCAAGAAAACUUCGAUGUUUAUUCAUCGAAGUACAAAGAACUGAUUCUAUAACCGUCGAAACCAAUCAUGUAUUAUCUUUACAUGUUGGUAACGACGACCGUUUAUACAAUAUUCAAGUCUAAUAAAAAAUAAAUGAAAAUUAUCUAAUAUCCCAUUGGUGUUUCAUGGCGUGUUACGUUUAACGGAAUGUAUUAUUGUUAAAACAGCGGUUUAUUUAACUUCUCGUAUAUCUAUUUGGUUGAAAUGAAUUUAAAAUUACCGAAAGUAUUAAGUUUAAAGUUUUUAUCUUUAGAAAGAGAGAGCAACUAUCAAAAUCAUUCAAAGAUUCGUUUUUUGACAUUACACGUAGCGACGCAAUUCAAAUGCAACCAUCCCGAGAUCAAAAUUAUAAAUGAUUGAAAUUUUAGGUUAAAAUUAUUUUAUGUUAGUCGCUUACAUUACGAUCUUCGUAAUAUUUAAGCGAAUAUACCAUAUUACGUUUAAAUAUUACGAGCAUGAAAAUAAUUCAUCUAUCGAUAAUAUAUUAUUUCUAAUACGACAUUAAGUUGAAGUCUUAUAAAAGUUACUAUAAUUAUAAUAAUAUUCAGUUUAUCCAAUUACCAAGAAGAAUGAUACAAAUCCUUCGUUCUUUAAGUAAAAUGAUAAAAAACACCCUUUGCACUCGGCUUCCUCUUGGAUGAUAUCUUGCAACAACAUGACGUCAUUUCGUCGCGCAAAUGUGGUAUAUCGUGUAACAUAUUAUAUACUUUCACUUUGGUAUCAAGGAAUGUGUUAUAGUGGUAUUUGAUUUAUAUGAAUUUAUUGACAAAUUUUUUUUUUUUUAAUAGAAUCGAAAUUUUAUACCAUGUAAUUUUUUACGAUAUUUAUGUCAAGUUUUGUUGCAAUUCUUGUACACUAUUUUCAUCGUUAUCAUUAUCUAUGAGAUUUCUUCAUUUUUCUGAUAAACUUUCUGAGAGCUCGUUCGAAUGCAAGGGAUUAAAAAGGAAAAUAAAACAUGAAUUAAAAUCCAACAAGUAAUUGAUAUUAAAAGAAAAAUAGUCGUUACAAAAUAGACUUAAAAAAAAAGCAAACAGAUAUGUAUUUAGAAAAUGUAUCAUAUUUUUCAUCAAUUUCAUAUUUUUGUAUGCAUGGGUUAAAUGUAAACUCGAUUUUUGAUUUAUAUUUACUGUUCUCUUAAUUUUUUCAGAAAUUCAAUUCUUACUUUUUCAAAACUUCAUUAAUCACGCUCGGAAAAAAAAUUAAAUAAGCAGAAAGUUUCAUUUUUUAAAUGAAUUCUCAAUACAUAUUUGUUUGCUUUUCUCUUUCAUGUUCUUUUUUUUUUAAUUAAAAUUUUUUCUUUUAUUUUAAUUUAUCGUUUAAACUUCUUUUUGAUUUUAUUUUUACUUAUAUAUCUAAAAAUGUACACGCCAAAAUAAAUAGUUUAUCAACAUGUAAACAAUUAUAUGAAUAAGUAUGUAUGCAAACACGAUUAAAUUUUAGUAUAUAGUAAGAUAUAUAUAUAUAUGCAUAUAUAUAUACAUAUAUACAGUGUGUGUGUAUGUGUGUUUAAAUGUUUAAUUGUUUAAACGCACACACGUACACACGUAUACACACAUACAUGAAACGUAUAUAUAAGAAGAAACAUUAUGUAAAAUUAUCGUGAAAUUGAUUUUUAACAAUAUGUAAUGAACGUAUAAACGACUGGCGAAGAUAGUUCUAUGGCCCUCUAUUAAUAAUUAUAUCUUACACAACUGACUACAUAAAAACAAUUACUCCUGACUAAUGCAUUCAGAUUGAUAGACAGAAACAAAAAAAAAUCGAUCUUCCCAAGACCGUCUGGUUUAAAAUGAUAUAUAUGAUAUACAUUCCAUUAUCGCAACUGAUUGAGGGCAUAUAUAUUAUAUUGGAUUUUCUCUCUUUUGAGUCUUUUAAGAAUAUGCAUGGAAUAUUGUAAUGGAAUAUUGUAAUGGAAUAUUGUAAUGGAAUAUUGUAAUGGAAUAUUGUAAUGGAAUAUUGUAAUGGAACAUUGCAUGGAAUCUUGUAAUCUCUUUCAAUAUAUACAAUAAAUUCAAAUAUCUAAUCAA